GGGUCUGUAGCUCAGGUGGUUAGAGCGCACCCCUGAUAAGGGUGAGGCCGGUGGUUCGAGUCCUCCCAGACCCACCACCC
rnacentral:tRNA from 1 species